UUUUUUAAAUAUGAAAUGUUUAGUGGUUUCAAUAAUUUAUAUUCAUUUAAAAAAAUGAAGAUUUCAAAAUUAAAAUAUUAAAUUUUCAAUAUAUGUUUAACGUAGAUAUCAAAUUAUAAGUAUGUAUUUUCAUAUGAUUUAUAUAGUUUAAUUUAAACGAUAUGAAAUAUAUAUAUUAACAUAAACACCUAUUAGAAUAAUUUUUUUAAUUCAUAUUAUUUUAUAAUCAUUGUAUCUUAUUAUAGAAAA
rnacentral:lncRNA from 1 species